UAGAGUUUGAUCCUGGCUCAGAACGAACGUUGGCGGCGUGGAUUAGGCAUGCAAGUCGCGCGAAUCCCCAGCAAUGGGGAGAAGCGGCGGACGGGGCAGGAGUGCGCGGGCGACCUAUCCGGGGGUCGGGCAUAGCCCGUCGAGAGACGGGGUAAUUCCCGAUGACGUCGCAAGACCAAAGGUCCGCCGCCCCCGGCGGGGCCCGCGCGGUAUUAGCUGGUUGGUGGGGUGACGGCCCACCAAGGCGGAGAUGCCUGGCGGGUGUGAGAGCACGACCCGCGCCACUGGCACUGAGACACUGGCCAGACACCUACGGGUGGCUGCAGUCGAGGAUCUUCGGCAAUGCGCGAAAGCGCGACCGAGCGACGCCGCGUGCGCGACGAAGGCCUUCGGGUUGUAAAGCGCUGUCGGGGGGGGAGAAAGCCGCAAGGUUGAUCUAUCCCCGGAGGAAGCACGGGCUAAGUUCGUGCCAGCAGCCGCGGUAAGACGAACCGUGCGAACGUUGUUCGGAAUCACUGGGCUUAAAGGGCGCGUAGGCGGGUCGGUAAGCCCGCGGUGAAAUCCCCCCGCUCAACGGGGGGAACGGCCGCGGGGACUGUCGGCCUCGAGGGGGGGUAGGGGCGAGCGGGAACGCUGGGGUGGGAGCGGUGAAAUGCGUUGAUAUCCAGCGGAACUCCGGUGGCCGAAGGCGGGCUCGCUGGACCCCCACUG
rnacentral:rRNA from 1 species